rnacentral:rRNA from 1 species
UACAUGCAAGUCGUACGAGAGUUUUGACUCUAGUGGCGGACGGUGAGUAACACGUGAGAAUCUGCCCUUAGGAGGAGGAUAACAGCUGGAAACGGUUGCUAAUACUCCAUAUGCCGAGAGGUGAAAGGAAGUAUCUGCCUAAGGAGGAGCUCGCGUCUGAUUAGCUAGUUGGUAGGUAAAGCCUACCAAGGCGACGAUCAGUAGCUGGUUGAGAGGAUGAUCAGCCACACUGGGACUGAGACACGGCCCAGACUCC